rnacentral:lncRNA from 12 species
GGGAGCCCGGGGGCUGCGGGUCUGUAACCGCGCCUGGGAGCCCCGGGGGGCUGCGGGUCUGUAACCGCGCCUGGGAGCCCCGGGGGCUGCGGGUCUGUAACCGCGCCUGGGAGCCCCGGGGGCUGCGGGUCUGUAACCGCGCCUGGGAGCCCCAGGGGGCUGCGGGUCUGUAACCGCGCCUGGGAGCCCCGGGGGCUGCGGGUCUGUAACCUGGCCUGCGAGCCCCAGGGGGCUGCGGGUCUGUAACCGCGCCUGGGAGCCCCGGGGGCUGCGGGUCUGUAACCGCGCCUGGGAGCCCCGGGGGCUGCGGGUCUGUAACUGGGCCUGCGAGCCCCAGGGGUGCGGGUCUGUAACUGGGCCUGCGAGCCCCGGGGGUGCGGGUCUGUAACUGGGCCUGCGAGCCCCGGGGGCUGCGGGUCUGUAACCGGGCCUGCGGGCCGCAGGGGUGCCGAGGUCCGCGCGGCGGCCGCCUCCCCGCCAUCUCCUUUGUGCCGAGGGACGCCCGGUGGCUGCGGCCGCGCUGAGCCCCCGCCCCGGGCCCCGCCGCCGUCCGGUCCGAGGGCUCCUGAAGGCCUCAACCAGGGCACGUGGGUCACCCAGAACAGAAUCGGCCUCGCCGCCGGGGCUCUGGUUCCGGGGCUGGGAUUUCCUGCUGCCUGGCUGUGUCUCAGGCAUGCUUUGCCUCCGGGGAUUAGAGGAAGGAUAACAUAUGGACGUGGAAAACCUCUGAUACAACCUACAGAGCUAGACAACAGCUGCUAUGUGGGCCAGUUUACCGAGGGGAGCAUUCGCCACCAGCUGGGGGGACUGAGUCAUUCAUUCAUCAAAAACGCAGGACUGUCUACCAACUGUGGAAUUAGGGCCUGCAGAAUCAGUCCUUCCUAAUUGCCAGAUGAAGACAGCAUAACCUAAAGACUAUGCCAUAGCUACUCAAAAUGGUGACUUCUAAUAUGACCACUGAUGUCCUCAGGGUCCAUGCUUAAAAUUCCUCAUAGUUUCCAGAGCUGACACCCAG